CGAAUGGGAUUAGAUACCCCAGUAGUCCUAGCCGUAAACGAUGAUACUAGGCGUGGCUCGUAUCGACCCGAGCUGUGCCGUAGCUAACGCGUUAAGUAUCCCGCCUGGAGUACGCACGCAACUGUGAAACUCAAAGGAAUUGACGGGGCCCGCACAAGCGGUGGAGUAUGUGGUUAUUCGAUGCAACGCGAAGAACCUUACCAGGCUUGACAUCUCACGAUCUCCUUGAAGGUGAAACUGACUUAGGAGCGUGAACACAGGUGGCUGCAUGGCUGUCGUCAGCUCUGUCGUGAGAUGUUGGUUAAGUCCGCAACGAGCGCAACCUCGUCUUUAUGCCAGCAUAAGUUGGGCACUCUAGAGAGACUGCCGGUGACAACCGGAGGAAGGUGGGAUGACGUCAAGUCAGCAUGCCUA
rnacentral:rRNA from 1 species